UUUAUAGCGUAAAUAUGUCCCGUGCAAUAUUUGGGACACACUUAUACUAAAA
rnacentral:pre_miRNA from 1 species